AGAAGUUACGCACAUUGGAUCAGGCCACACAGCUGCAAACAUUUAUUGAGGGCCACUAUUUGCCCAGGAAACCCAGAUGAGCAGGAAGACACGCGCUCGGGGCUGGAGACGUGCACACCCGGGGAAGGAGGUGCACAGCCCGCGUCCUCAGUUCCUCCGCAAAGUCAGCUUCGCCGCAGCCCACCUCCCACCCAGGACCGGCCCCAAAGCCCUUCUCGAUUACCUCGAAAGGAUCUCCGGCACUGAAGUCGAAGGAGAGGAUGAGGUGAACCUCCCGCGUCGGGGGCAGCACGAGUGGGAAGGGAGUGUUGAUGGCUAAACCAGCAUCCACCAGGUGGAGGUGCUUCCGGCUGCUCAUUAUCUUGUCCCGGAUGCCACCGUGUUUGUACAGGAAGUUGUGAGUGGUCCCCCAUUCCCACUUUGAAGCGCAAAUGCCUGUUUUCUUCACAAAAUCCAUCAAGUUACUGAGUGAGCCUUUCCUUUCGGGGUCCUCAUGGGGCUGCUCCUGCUUUUCCAGGGAGGUCCUGGUCCAAUUCUCGAGCAUCUCAGUCAGCCAGGUGUGUUCAGGCUCACCGCCUUCAUCUUCUGGGGGAGGAUGUUCCCCUUGUGAACUUUCUUGCAGCCUCAGUAAUCGGGCAAAAAUAAGGUGUCCAAUGCUUUUAGCAUUAGCAACAGCCCUUCUCCAUAAACCUUUCAGGGUCAGAUUCCUUAACUGGUCUCUCAGGAAAGUCAGGUCUCUCUCAGGGUGAGUUCUGACCAGUCUUCCCUUCUUGAAUUUGCUUCCGAAGUGGGUUAUGGAAACAAAGGCCCCCAGUGCAGAGAAGCCAGCGUGGUGAGGGGUGAACUCGAACCAGGUCUCUGGUGCUCUUGCCUCCUGCCAGGAAGGUUGCAGGUCAUUGUCAAUGGCUGCAAAUAUUGGGUAGGGUAG
rnacentral:lncRNA from 1 species